GACCCUGUAGUGCAAUGGAUAGCACAUGCUGGACUUUUUAUCCAAAGGUCAUGGGUUCAAAUCCCACCUGGGAUGGCCU